UACAGAGGAGCCAAGCGUUGUCCGGAUUGAUUGGGCGUAAAGCGUCCGCAGGUGGCUGUGUAAGUCUGCUGUCAAAGAGCGAAGCUCAACUUCGUAAAGGCAGUGGAAACUACACGGCUAGAGUGCGUUCGGGGCAGAGGGAAUUCCUGGUGUAGCGGUGAAAUGCGUAGAGAUCAGGAAGAACACCGGUGGCGAAGGCGCUCUGCUAGGCCGCAACUGACACUGAGGGACGAAAGCCAAGGGAGCAAACAGG
rnacentral:rRNA from 1 species